CUGACUGCUAUCGGAUUGAUACUAAGCCAUGCGAGUCAUUGUAGUAAUACAAGGCAGACGGCUCAGUAACGCGUAGUCAACCUACCCUAUGGACGGGAAUAACCUCGGGAAACUGAGUAUAAUGCCCGAUGGAACACUAUACCUGGAAUGGUUUGUGUUCCAAAUGAUUUAUCGCCGUAGGAUGGGACUGCGGCCUAUCAGUUUGUUGGUGAGGUAAUGGCCCACCAAGACUAUUACAGGUACGGGCUCUGAGAGGAGUAGCCCGGAGAUGGGUACUGAGACACGGACCCAGGCCCUAUGGGGCGCAGCAGGCGAGAAAACUUUGCAAUGUGCGAAAGCACGACAAGGUUAAUCCGAGUGGUUUGUGCUAAACGAACCUUUUGACAGUCCUAGAAACACUGUUGAAUAAGGGGUGGGCAAGUUCUGGUGUCAGCCGCCGCGGUAAAACCAGCACCUCAAGUGGUCAGGAUGAUUAUUGGGCCUAAAGCAUCCGUAGCCGGCUCCGUAAGUUUUCGGUUAAAUCUGUAUGCUCAACAUACAGGCUGCCGGGAAUACUGCAAAGCUAGGGAGUGGGAGAGGUAGACGGUACUCGGUAGGAAGGGGUAAAAUCCUUUGAUCUAUUGAUGACCACCUGUGGCGAAGGCGGUCUACCAGAACACGUCCGACGGUGAGGGAUGAAAGCUGGGGGAGCAAACCGGAUUAGAUACCCGGGUAGUCCCAGCUGUAAACUAUGCAAACUCAGUGAUGCAUUGGCUUGUGGCCAAUGCAGUGCUGCAGGGAAGCCGUUAAGUUUGCCGCCUGGGAAGUACGUACGCAAGUUUGAAACUUAAAGGAAUGGCGG
rnacentral:rRNA from 1 species